rnacentral:rRNA from 1 species
AGCAGCCGCGGUAAUUCCAGCUCCAAUAGCGUAUAUUAAAGUUGUUGCAGUUAAAAAGCUUGUAGUUGAAUUUCGGGGUUAGUAGGUUGGUCAUGCCUCUGGUAUGUACUGGUCUCACUGAUUCCUCCUUCCUGAUGAACCUUAAUGCCAUUAAUUUGGUGUUUUGGGGAAUUUGGACUGUUACCUUGAAAAAAUUAGAGUGUUUAAAGCAAGCUAACGCUUGAAUACAUUAGCAUGGAAUAAUGAAAUAGGACGUUUGAUCCUAUUUCGUUGGUUUCUAGGAUCGACGUAAUGAUUAAUAGGGAUAGUUGGGGGCAUUAGUAUUCAAUUGUCAGAGGUGAAAUUCUUGGAUUUAUUGAAGACUAACUACUGCGAAAGCAUUUGCCAAGGAUGUUUUCAUUAAUCAAGAACGAAAGUUAGGGGAUCGAAGACGAUCAGAUACCGUCGUAGUCUUAACCAUAAACUAUGCCGACUAGGGAUCGGAUGAUGUUAAUUUUUUAAUGACUCAUUCGGCGCCUUA